rnacentral:piRNA from 1 species
UGAUUUUUCUUUGUUCUAACUUAAG